rnacentral:rRNA from 1 species
AUGCGUAUGUUGAGAUGGAUGUGUGGCCACACGAGGAAGGAUCGAGUCCGGAAUGAUGAUAUACGAGAUAGAGUUGGUGUAGCACCAAUUGAGGAGAAGCUUGUCCAACAUCGUCUGAGAUGGUUUGGGCAUAUUCAUCGCAGGCCUCCAGAAGCUCCAGUGCAUAGCGGACGGCUAAAGCGUGCGGAGAAUGUCAAGAGAGGGCGGGGUAGACCGAAUUUGACAUGGGAGGAGUCCGUUAAGAGAGACCUGAAGGAUUGGAGUAUCACAAAAGAGCUAGCUAUGGACAGGGGUGCGUGGAAGCUUCCUAUCCAUGUGCCAGAGCCAUGA